UGUCGCUUCCUCGUUGGAGGCAUCGAUGUAGCUGCUCUUACCUUGCCUUUCCCAAUGUGCUCCGGGGGAAACUCUUGAUCUAGUUUAGAUCGGACGAUGGCGGCGCCAUUCGGCGUCGUGUUAUCUCUUGGGGGCAUCGUCCUGGAGAUGGAUCCGGUUAAAGGGACCCGUGGCUCGUGAGGAUAUGUGUUGUGUGUGCUGCUGCCGAAAGGCGCUGUUUGUAUGGUUUUUGGGUCCGGUUUCCCUCAUAAACUGGACCAACCUUCUUUCUCCCGAUCAAUGAAUUUGGUAGAACUAUCAACAUUCAAAAAAAGAAAAAGAAAAAAGCAACCCCUCAAUCAAAAUAAUAAUAAUUGCGGUACCGGCUUCGUCUUCCGGUCCGGAGGGCUCCGUUCAGAUCGACGCCUCUGCUCCUCUGCUGUGUAUCCCUCCGCCCCCAAAUCUUCUCCAUCGAGCCGUGCGGCGGCGCCGGCGGCGACAGAGAGCGUCUACCUCUCCCUCCUUCAACGCUACUUCACGAGCAGCGCAGCAGCGGCGGUCGCCGACCCCACUCUCGGCAUGAGACCUGCAUUGUUGUCGUGGUGGUUGUUGUCUUUGCGUUGGAGCAGCGGGAGCAGCUCCUCCCUGUUCGGACGUUGGCACACGCUCGAGCUGGUGCACGUAUCCAUCUUCAGCGGCCACUGGAGUAGUAUUGUUGGAAAUCUCACGACCAAGAUUAAUCUAUGAAAAAUCUAUCUAUUUAUAUCUGUACUUCUAUAUCUGAAUCUUCUACCUGAUUUCUCUCGCUUCUCGUGCGGCCACGUCAUCCCCAAUCUUGCUGUUAACACUCCGUACAGCCACCACAAACACAUUGAUCACUAUAUCCGAGUACCUCUAUAGUUUUGUUUGUUCAGUUAGAUGGACUUGGCUAUCGCAUGAGAACAUAAUUCACAUGUGUAUUUUGUUGUUUGGGGGAUUAUAGUGGAGAUUUAUUUUUUGCACCACACUGGAUUGACGUGGUGAAUUAGAAAGCUUUUUUUAUCCCAGGAAUGGAUUGAAUACUUCUAAACACAGUUAAAGGGUAAAGGUAUGUAUAUAUUUUUGUCCGUUUAAUUUCUUCUUUCACACUGUAUGAUGUCAAGUUUCGGACAUAGUUGUAUGAUUUACUCUUCUAGGUUGUAGUGUUGGUACGAAGAACCAUAAUAGGAACUUAAUGAAUAUUGUGCCUUACUAUUAAGAUGAAUAUUUGCUGACUCAAAUAUUGUUUGAGUACGUUUCUCCUAAAGCUAACUGACCAAAAUCUGAACGACUCUGACUGAUGCGUACAAGUCCAACUAUAAGGAUCCGAAUACCGUCUAAAAUUCUGAAAGGUCUUUUCCUACAUUGUGAGACCCAAUCUGGAAAAUGAUGGCUCCGUGAAUCAACAACUACAUUGUUUCCAAUAUAGUUUAGACUUUUUAGGAUGGAUUAAUCAGCAAAUGCGUUUUUUGCUGUGAUUUUUUAGGCAUACAUGUGCUCAGAUUUUGAUUUUUUUAGUUUCUUUCACAAAUGUUUAAUUCAGAUGCUGAUAAUUUUUUAGUUUGUUUCAAAGCUGUUUAGUUCAGAUUAGGAAACUUUGUAGAUUUAUAUAAGAUGACAUGUAAGGUGGUGAGAAGGUUUAGUUAUCUGAAAACAUACCCUGUGCACAUGAAGUUCAGCAUGGUCCAAUGAUGUAUGGAAUUUCAUAAAUCAAAGCUCAGUCUGCAAGGUAAAAUUCAAAGUGAACUUUGCCCCUUGAUUAUUUCUAAAAACAUACCCUGUACACGUGAACUUCAGCAUGGUUCAAUAAUGUAUAGGAAUUUCUUA